GUGACUCAAGACUAUGUACUUGAAUGAAUAUGUGUGUGUGUGUGUGUGUGUGUGUGUGCUUGCAAGGUGGUUGUUCUUUUCCCUCUGUUUCCUGUCUCACUGCUCGUCUUUGAGCUUCAGAUUAUACCAUUUCCUCUCACACCUGUGACUGUGUCACGUCCUGAUCCUUCCACCCCUGCCCGUAUUUAUCUAUUCUUUUUAUUUCUCUCUCCCGCUCUCUCUCCCUCAAUGUAGGCUGUGUCCUCAGUCUUUCUCAGCCUGGGGUCUAGCUUACCUGUGUCAACAUGGUGACGGCGCCAGGUGUACUGACGACCCUUGUGUUAACAGGAUUGUGUGUCCACGUCACAGGAUCAUCUAGAGCCGUCUGUACCACCCGUCUGUAUUCCCUGAACUUAAACUGUGUCCUGCAGUGGGAUUGUCCACAGGCGAACGCUACCACCACCUACACCGUCCAAACUAAGACUCAGGGUGAUUCGUGGCAGGACGUGGAGAGUUGUGUGCGGUUCUCCUCCCAGCUGUGUGACCUGUCCGAGGCCUUCUCUAACUUCGAGGUGUACAACAUGAUCCGCCUGGGCCUCCACCAGGGCCCGGGGAGUCCAGCCUGGACAGAAAAUCUGGGGUUUGGCGUCCGUGAUUUCAGUCAGUAGCCUGUCUCUCCUCUAAGACCUGUCACGUAUCUUGCCAUGGCGAUUUAUUGUUCAAAUUCACAUCAAAAAAGAAGAGCAUUUAACCGUCUUAAUACACUGCAGAGUUCAAAUAGAGAGGGCUAAAAUGGCUAAAAGCACUCGCAUGAAGAGAUUGUUGUGAUUUUGAAGUGAAAGUGGCUUUGUUUCUCCUCUUCAGACUUCAGCAGCCCCUCUGUCUUGGUCUCUCUGUCUGGAGAGAUGCUGGGAGUGGAGGUGCACUUACCUUGUUCUAGCAAAAGGGAGUGUCUUCCUCUGCAGAGUUGCUGUCCACUGUCAAAAUUUAUUGACCUCUGGGUCACCGUGACAGUAUAUGACCGGCAGAACCCCUCCGACUACAAGGCAUCUCUUCAGGCAUUCCUCCAGGACCUACCGGAGUCCCCUUCAGACCCUGUUGACCCCAGUGACAUUGUAGACGACCACCUCUCCAUCCUGUCCUCUUUCUCCAGCUGUGUCUACACCGAGGCCCAGGCCCCAAGCCUGGGUAAUGGGUACAACAGCAACCCCUUCCUCCGUGACUAUAGGUCAGGCAACAUGCACUGGAACACUGAGAGAAUGGAGCUGGACCUGAACUCAGGCAGCACCAUAUCCCUGCCAUGCUCCACUGUGCCUAUAGGCCUGCAUAUGAUCCAGUGCAGCUUUGAUUCACCUCGACAACCACAUCCAGGGCCCAAUGUGCCAGUUCUACCGUACCCUGGUUCUCUAUCUCUGUCAGAGGCCGUGGAGGGCCAGGUGGUCCCGUUGUGUUCUGUGAGGUUUGGGAGGGUGAGUGAUGGGUGUGAGAACCUUGAGGGACUACAGUGGUGUAACCUGUAGCAUGUUGCACUGCAGUACUCACAAUGCCAUGUUUAACAUAUUCCUAUGAACUCCACAGUGCUGAGAGGAGUUCAAAAACUUUAUUGACCAUUUUUGUUGAAAAUUGUAAUUUUUUUCCCUCAGCUUACAGACAUACAUUUUCAGUUCCAACAGGACUGUGGUAUGGUCCAGCACCUUACCAAGGUCAACCAUAACAGGGACAAUACUGGACAGUGCAAUCAUAAACACAUACACUCUUAGAAAAAAGGGUUUCAAAAGGGUUCUUCGGCUGUCCCCAUAGGAGAACCCUUUUCGGAACCAAAACUAUUCUUCCUGGAACCAAAAAGGGUUCUUCAAUGGGUUAUCCUAUGGGGACAGCCGACAAGGUUCUAGAUGGCACCUUUUUUUUUCUAAGGGGGGUUUAUUAUUCUGACUCCCCUUUAAAUUUACUUUGUCUACUGUGCCAAGUGUCUUUUCAGCUCUUUUUCUGUGUCAUAAUAGGUUGUUCUUCCCCCUCUCUCUGCCUUGCUUCUGACUCACUGUUGCCCCAUCCCAUCUCCGGCCUGACCCCCACUGUCUCUUACCCGUGUCUGACAUCUCAUUCUGGGGGAGGAGGGCAGAGGGUAGGGGAACAUCUCUCUCCUGCCUCUUGUUUCACUGGUGGUGCACUUUCCCCGGAACAUUAGAACAUUCGGGGGUAGAGACAGAGGAGACGUUGGAUGGGAAACAGUGAUUGGCCCUAUUGUUCUGGAAACCACAUAGCCUGUGUAUGGCUCAUAAUAAUAUCACUGUCUGGAGGAUUUUGAUUCAUGUAUUCAUGUUGUUGGUCUAAUAUUGGGGUUGGAUCAUGAGUCCAAACUAAGCAGUGUGUUUGCUUGCCAAUCAUAAAUGCUAAUUCUCAGGCAUCCAACAGGUAUCGCAUCUAACCUUGCACUUGGGUUUUUGGAGCAACUUUUAUGGGUUCUGCUGUAUUUGCAGUCAAUUCACCGGAAACCUGAUCCAAAAUGGUCGCUUUGUGGCUCACUCUUCACUGGUGUGUGCUGGCUAGCUCUGCAGCUGAGGUGGUGAAGUUGGAUUGGGGAUUUACGUGGUGUUUGACAGGCAGUAAAAAAUGUUGGGGGGGGCUUGCCUGUUAUGCAUGUUAUUUUGGCAUUAAAUGUCACAUCAGUUUGCAAACAAUGCAAUAAAAAUAAAUCAAUGAGUUAAUAAAGCCGC
ensembl:lncRNA